AACCUUUUUAAUUUUCAAUCAGCGUCUGAAAAAACUUAAUAAUUACAACUUUCAACAACGGAUCUCUUGGUUCUGGCAUCGAUGAAGAACGCAGCGAAAUGCGAUAAGUAGUGUGAAUUGCAGAAUUCAGUGAAUCAUCGAAUCUUUGAACGCACAUUGCGCCCCUUGGUAUUCCAUGGGGCAUGCCUGUUCGAGCGUCAU
rnacentral:rRNA from 1 species